UCUUGGUGGCGAGUGGCGGACGGGUGAGUAAUAUAUCGGAACGUGCCCAGUAGCGGGGGAUAACUACUCGAAAGAGUGGCUAAUACCGCAUACGCCCUACGGGGGAAAGGGGGGGAUUCUUCGGAACCUCUCACUAUUGGAGCGGCCGAUAUCGGAUUAGCUAGUUGGUGGGGUAAAGGCUCACCAAGGCAACGAUCCGUAGCUGGUUUGAGAGGACGACCAGCCACACUGGGACUGAGACACGGCCCAGACUCCUACGGGAGGCAGCAGUGGGGAAUUUUGGACAAUGGGGGAAACCCUGAUCCAGCCAUCCCGCGUGUAUGAUGAAGGCCUUCGGGUUGUAAAGUACUUUUGGCAGAGAAGAAAAGGUAUCUCCUAAUACGAGAUACUGCUGACGGUAUCUGCAGAAUAAGCACCGGCUAACUACGUGCCAGCAGCCGCGGUAAUACGUAGGGUGCAAGCGUUAAUCGGAAUUACUGGGCGUAAAGCGUGUGUAGGCGGUUCGGAAAGAAAGAUGUGAAAUCCCAGGGCUCAACCUUGGAACUGCAUUUUUAACUGCCGAGCUAGAGUAUGUCAGAGGGGGGUAGAAUUCCACGUGUAGCAGUGAAAUGCGUAGAUAUGUGGAGGAAUACCGAUGGCGAAGGCAGCCCCCUGGGAUAAUACUGACGCUCAGACACGAAAGCGUGGGGAGCAAACAGGAUUAGAUACCCUGUAGUCCACGCCCUAAACGAUGUCAACUAGCUGUUGGGGCCGUUAGGCCUUAGUAGCGCAGCUAACGCGUGAAGUUGACCGCCUGGGGA
rnacentral:rRNA from 1 species